GCCUGGCGUGGUGGGGCAUGCCUGUAAUCCCAGCAAUUCAGGAGGCUGAGGCAGGAGGAUUGUGAGUUCAAAGCCAGCCUUAGCAAUUUAGCAAGGCCCUAAGCAACUUAGUGAGGUCCUGUCUCAA
rnacentral:sRNA from 1 species